rnacentral:lncRNA from 1 species
CCCCGCCCUGCCCCGCGCCCCGCCGCCUGCUUAUUCAGGAGGCGCGCCCCGCUCCUCUGCGGAGACUCCAAGGAGGGUUUUGCUCAGCCCAGGCUCGCACCUGCCUGCUCCCCGCGCGACAUUAAAGGCGAGACUCCGCCGUCUGGAUAUCGCAGGACCACGGAGAAUCCCACCGGCCCUUGCUGAGUCAUUGCGGGCCGAGGUCCGGGCUCCGCGCCGGCGCGCCUGCGAGGUGGACUGUCCCGGUCACCGGCCUCCCCAGAGGCAGGGGUCUCGGGCCAGAGCCCACAGGACCUGGGUCUAAGGCACCAUCCGCGGCCGAGCAGUGGCGCUGGGGUCUGUCUGCGUCCUCCCCGCCCCCGGGGUGAGACAGACAGGACCGCCCUAGAGCCUCUGGGUCAGGACAGUCGGAGCCAGAGUCCCCAUCUGGGCCUCCGUGGCCCCCAGCCCGUGAGCCCAGACUGCGCUCUCCCCGCUCCACAGGCCAGCUGCUGGGCCGGGGCUGGGGGGCUUCUGGUGGCUGGGGCUGAACCGUCUAGGAACAGGCUUUAAUAGGAGGGGCUCGGGUGGAGGAAUGGCUCCUGCAAAGGCCCUGCCAGAGUCAGGUCAGGUGGGUGGGCGAGAGGACCAGUGUGGCCAGGCUGCGGAAGCCAGCACAGGAGACAAGGGCGGGUGCUGUGCAUUACAGAGGCUGCUGGGGGCUUGUCCAUAGAGCAGCAGGGGGCACGGAAGGGCUUGGGGACGCAGACACGAUCAGACUUGCAUUUCAUCAGGCACUCUUUAGCUGCCUGCUGGGUGGCUGGGCUGUGUGAGAUGACCCUGCUUUGACCAGGUUAGGAAUUAUGACUGGUUUCCAGAGAGAACAUUGGUUAGUAAUUGGCUAUGGGGAAGAGGGGGCGUUGAGCCAACCAACUGGGGUCCCCCUGAAGUGCCAGCAAAGUGUCUGGUUUUCUCCAGGAUCUGUUUCCUCAGUCCCUGGCAGGAUUGGCUCCCCUGCACGCCAUGUCCUUGUGGUCCCUUCCAGACAGAAACCAGGCAUGAAUAAAGUGAAUAAUGACAAGCGCUCAGGCCACUGCCGUGGAGGGCGGUCCACAACCCAGAGCUGGUCAUGCGCCGGGCACCCUGGCCUCCAGGACAUUGGUGUGUCAUUUCUAUACCAUCUGGCUACGAGAGGAGCCGACUGAAAGUCACACUGCCGGAGGAGGGGAGAGGUGCUCUUCCGUUUCUGGUGUCUGUAGCCAUCUCCAGUGGUAGCUGCAGUGAUAAUAAUGCUGCGGUGCCGACAGUUCUGGAAGGAGCAACAACAGUGAUUUCAGCAGCAGCAGUAUUGCGGGAUCCCCACGAUGGAGCAAGGGAAAUAAUUCUGGAAGCAAUGACAAUAUCAGCUGUGGCUAUAGCAGCUGAGAUGUGAGUUCUCACGGUGGCAGCUUCAAGGACAGUAGUGAUGGUCCAAUGGCGCCCAGACCUAGAAAUGCACAUUUCCUCAGCACCGGCUCCAGAUGCUGAGCUUGGACAGCUGACGCCUUGGAUCAUCUGCCACUGAUCUCUGGUCAACAUUUUUAUCACCCAACACAAAAGAAGCAGAGAUUUAUCAAGUUACUUAACCUGACCCUUUCAUCUUUUGCUACACAUACUCUUGUAAUUGAUCUCUCCAUGAAUUGUUUUCUGUUUAAAAUAUCUAGAAUGUUUUCUGCUUCCUGACUUGAUUCUAAUAUUGUAUAGGUACUAGAAAUGGUUCUAGAAAUAGAUCUUUAUAGAUGAGAAUCUGGAAGUGGUUUGCUGACCUGUUUCAGUCUGAAUGAAUUCCUGACCUUCUUGUCGGGAGGAGACAGAAACCUGAUCAUCUGUAGUGUACGGUGGUAUCAUGAUUACUUAAAUCAUCAAAUGUGGUUAUUGGGAAUGAUGUGUUUUUUAAAGUGGUACAUGAGAG